UACGUAGGGUGCGAGCGUUGUCCGGAAUUAUUGGGCGUAAAGAGCUCGUAGGCGGUGUGUCACGUCGGCCGUGAAAACCUGGGGCUUAACUCUGGGCGUGCGGUCGAUACGGGCAUCACUAGAGUUCGGCAGGGGAGACUGGAAUUCCUGGUGUAGCGGUGAAAUGCGCAGAUAUCAGGAGGAACACCGGUGGCGAAGGCGGUUCUCUGGCAUUACCUGACGGCUGAGGAGCGAAAGUGUGGGAGCGAACAGG
rnacentral:rRNA from 1 species